UGUUAAUCCACUACACUUUGUGUCGAAUUUAGUGAAUAUCUCCUCACGGCCACCUAGCUCUCUAUUUUCUGUGUGCGCUGAAAAAAAAAUCCGGAGUUAAUCCACAGC